GGGUUGUGAGGUUAAGCGACUAAGCGUACACGGUGGAUGCCCUGGCAGUCAGAGGCGAUGAAGGACGUGCUAAUCUGCGAAAAGCGUCGGUAAGGUGAUAUGAACCGUUAUAACCGGCGAUGUCCGAAUGGGGAAACCCAGUGCAAUUCGUUGCACUAUCGUUAACUGAAUACAUAGGUUAACGAGGCGAACCGGGGGAACUGAAACAUCUAAGUACCCCGAGGAAAAGAAAUCAACCGAGAUUCCCCCAGUAGCGGCGAGCGAACGGGGAGCAGCCCAGAGUCUGAAUCAGCUUGUGUGUUAGUGGAACGGUCUGGAAAGUCCGACGGUACAGGGUGAUAGUCCCGUACACCAAAAUGCACAGGCUGUGAACUCGAAGAGUAGGGCGGGACACGUGGUAUCCUGUCUGAAUAUGGGGGGACCAUCCUCCAAGGCUAAAUACUCCUGACUGACCGAUAGUGAACCAGUACCGUGAGGGAAAGGCGAAAAGAACCCCGGCGAGGGGAGUGAAAAGAACCUGAAACCGUGUACGUACAAGCAGUGGGAGCACCUUCGGGUGUGACUGCGUACCUUUUGUAUAAUGGGUCAGCGACUUAUAUUCUGUAGCAAGGUUAACCGUAUAGGGAGCCGCAGGAAACCGAGUCUUAACUGGGCGUUAAGUUGCAGGGUAUAGACCCGAAACCCGGUGAUCUAGCCAUGGGCAGGUUGAAGGUUGGGUAACACUAACUGGAGGACCGAACCGACUAAUGUUGAAAAAUUAGCGGAUGACUUGUGGCUGGGGGUGAAAGGCCAAUCAAACCGGGAGAUAGCUGGUUCUCCCCGAAAGCUAUUUAGGUAGCGCCUCGUGAACUCAUCUUCGGGGGUAGAGCACUGUUUCGGCUAGGGGGUCAUCCCGACUUACCAACCCGAUGCAAACUACGAAUACCGAAGAAUGUUAUCACGGGAGACACACGGCGGGUGCUAACGUCCGUCGUGAAGAGGGAAACAACCCAGACCGCCAGCUAAGGUCCCAAAGUCAUGGUUAAGUGGGAAACGAUGUGGGAAGGCACAGACAGCCGUGAUGUUGGCUUAGAAGCAAGCCAUCAUUUAAAGAAAGCGUAAUAGCUCACUGGUCGAGUCGGCCUGCGCGGAAGAUGUAACGGGGCUAAACCAUGCACCGAAGCUGCGGCAGCGACACUAUGUGUUGUUGGGUAGGGGAGCGUUCUGUAAGCCUGCGAAGGUGUGCUGUGAGGCAUGCUGGAGGUAUCAGAAGUGCGAAUGCUGACAUAAGUAACGAUAAAGCGGGUGAAAAGCCCGCUCGCCGGAAGACCAAGGGUUCCUGUCCAACGUUAAUCGGGGCAGGGUGAGUCGACCCCUAAGGCGAGGCCGAAAGGCGUAGUCGAUGGGAAACAGGUUAAUAUUCCUGUACUUGGUGUUACUGCGAAGGGGGGACGGAGAAGGCUAUGUUAGCCGGGCGACGGUUGUCCCGGUUUAAGCAUGUAGGCUGGUUGUCCAGGCAAAUCCGGAUAAUCAAGGCUGAGGUGUGAUGACGAGGCACUACGGUGCUGAAGUAACAAAUGCCCUGCUUCCAGGAAAAGCCUCUAAGCAUCAGGUAACAUCAAAUCGUACCCCAAACCGACACAGGUGGUCAGGUAGAGAAUACCAAGGCGCUUGAGAGAACUCGGGUGAAGGAACUAGGCAAAAUGGUGCCGUAACUUCGGGAGAAGGCACGCUGGUGUGUAGGUGAAGUCCCUGCGGAUGGAGCUGAGACCAGUCGAAGAUACCAGCUGGCUGCAACUGUUUAUUAAAAACACAGCACUGUGCAAACACGAAAGUGGACGUAUACGGUGUGACGCCUGCCCGGUGCCGGAAGGUUAAUUGAUGGGGUUAUCCGUAAGGAGAAGCUCUUGAUCGAAGCCCCGGUAAACGGCGGCCGUAACUAUAACGGUCCUAAGGUAGCGAAAUUCCUUGUCGGGUAAGUUCCGACCUGCACGAAUGGCGUAAUGAUGGCGGGCUGUCUCCACCCGAGACUCAGUGAAAUUGAACUCGCUGUGAAGAUGCAGUGUACCCGCGGCAAGACGGAAAGACCCCGUGAACCUUUACUAUAGCUUGACACUGAACAUUGAGCCUUGAUGUGUAGGAUAGGUGGGAGGCUUUGAAGCGUGGACGCCAGUCUGCGUGGAGCCAACCUUGAAAUACCACCCUUUAAUGUUUGAUGUUCUAACGUUGGCCCCUUACCGGGGUUGCGGACAGUGUCUGGUGGGUAGUUUGACUGGGGCGGUCUCCUCCCAAAGCGUAACGGAGGAGCACGAAGGUUAGCUAAUCCUGGUCGGACAUCAGGAGGUUAGUGCAAUGGCAUAAGCUAGCUUGACUGCGAGCGUGACGGCGCGAGCAGGUGCGAAAGCAGGUCAUAGUGAUCCGGUGGUUCUGAAUGGAAGGGCCAUCGCUCAACGGAUAAAAGGUACUCCGGGGAUAACAGGCUGAUACCGCCCAAGAGUUCAUAUCGACGGCGGUGUUUGGCACCUCGAUGUCGGCUCAUCACAUCCUGGGGCUGAAGUAGGUCCCAAGGGUAUGGCUGUUCGCCAUUUAAAGUGGUACGCGAGCUGGGUUUAGAACGUCGUGAGACAGUUCGGUCCCUAUCUGCCGUGGGCGCUGGAGAAUUGAGGGGGGCUGCUCCUAGUACGAGAGGACCGGAGUGGACGCAUCACUGGUGUUCGGGUUGUCAUGCCAAUGGCACUGCCCGGUAGCUAAAUGCGGAAGAGAUAAGUGCUGAAAGCAUCUAAGCACGAAACUUGCCCCGAGAUGAGUUCUCCCUGAGACUUUAAGUCUCCUGAAGGAACGUUAAAGACGAUGACGUUGAUAGGCCGGGUGUGUAAGCGCAGCGAUGCGUUGAGCUAACCGGUACUAAUGAACCGUGAGGCUUAACCUUACAACGCCGAAG
rnacentral:rRNA from 1 species